rnacentral:rRNA from 1 species
UACGUAGGGUGCGAGCGUUAAUCGGAAUUACUGGGCGUAAAGCGUGCGUAGGCGGUUGGCAAAGUCAGCUGUGAAAGCCCCGGGCUUAACCUGGGAACCGCGCUUGAGACUGGCACGCUCGAGUUCGGGAGAGGAUGGUGGAAUUCCCAGUGUAGAGGUGAAAUUCGUAGAUAUUAGGAAGAACACCGAGUGGCGAAGGCGGCUCACUGGCCCGGUACUGACGCUCAUGUGCGAAAGCGUGGGGAGCAAACAGG